rnacentral:rRNA from 1 species
UACGUAGGGUGCAAGCGUUAAUCGGAAUUACUGGGCGUAAAGCGUGCGCAGGCGGUUGUGCAAGACAGAUGUGAAAUCCCCGGGCUUAACCUGGGAAUUGCAUUUGUGACUGCACGGCUAGAGUGUGUCAGAGGGGGGUAGAAUUCCACGUGUAGCAGUGAAAUGCGUAGAUAUGUGGAGGAAUACCGAUGGCGAAGGCAGCCCCCCUGGGAUAACACUGACGCUCAUGCACGAAAGCGUGGGGAGCAAACGGG